UGACAGAUCUGACUAAUGUUUUUAUCAUUUGAGGUUGUUUCCAGAAUAAUGUUACGUUGUUUAGUUCUUACUAUUUUUUCUUCUUUUCUCAGUUUUAUAGCAUAGUCUAUACCAGGACUGACCAAUCAUUUUCAGUGUUCGUCUUAAAGUUUGGUUUUAAGAUGUUUUAUGUACUACUCUUUUCUCAAGACUUGUUUCUUCCUGUCUUAGUUUCAUCAAAACUAGAAGUGACUGAUCAGACUAAGUUAUUAUUUGAGUUUCGUAGUACAGUCUAUACCAGGAGGGACUGAUUAGACUCAAUUUCACCAUUUAAGUCUGUUUUCAAAUGUUUUAUGCUCUCAUUUAGUAGUAUUUGCUCUGUUCUGUUUUCUCAGUUUUAUAGUAUAGUGUAAACACUAAAAGUGACAUGAAAUUGAGUUCUUAAAAUCCGAGGUUAAUUCUGAAAUAAUUUUUUAGUUUGUACGAAUUAUUUUUUGAUCUUAGUUUCAUAGUAUUGUUUCACUUACCAGAAGUGACCAGACUGAUUUAUCAAUUAGAAUUUGCUUUAAAAGAUGCUUACUAUUACUUUUUUCUUCAGUUUCAUAGUAUAGUUUAAAUUAACAAAAAUGACAAAACAGACUGAGUUUUGCAACAUCUGAGGUUGUUUAAAAUAUAUUGUUUUUCUUAAGUCUUACAUUUCUUUCUCAGUUUUAUGGUAUAUUUUCUACCAAAAGUGACUGAUCAAACUCUGUCAUUUGGGUUUGGUUUUAGAAAGUUUUAUGUAUUAGUCUUAUCUCAGUAUUUAGUAAUUUGCUGAGAUUGAUAUAGUUUAAUAUACCACAAGUGACUUAUCAGACUGAGUUAUCAUUUAAGUUUGAUAGCAUAGUUUAUACCAAGAGACUGGUUAGAC